GUCAAUUUAGUAAAUGAAAGUAAACAGAAAAUGGGGGACUCUUUUACAGAACCUGCUCUGAAUUGCGCUCAGGAGCUAGUCAAACCAGCAGAUCAUCCUGCCAUUUACAGACACAUUAACUUUGACCUCCUUUUCUCUAUCACGUGCAUCUCCAUGUGAGUUUUCUUUGUUAUUCCUAUUAAAAACUGGUCAGAGUAAUUCAGACCCAACUUAAUUAACAGGGUUUCUCUGGACUCCUCUCAAUUUUAGUGCUAUUUGUGAAGUAGUUUAACCAUUAACUUGCAUAAAGCUAUGGAACUGCAUGAAGAAUACUCACAUGAUACAAUUUUGUUCAGAGGAAAUAUUAACUUGAAGGGAAAAAUAAAACUCAGAAUAGUGAUUAACCAGUCCCUUCAAGCACUAUAAAAGAAGCCGAGAUAGCCAGCUUCUCUGACUUCACAUAAAAAUAUAAUCAAGUUAAUAUGAAAUAUGAGGUUCUUGUAGGCUUUCAUUUUUACAAGAUGUGCUGAUUUGUCCUUGAUUUAAUCAUGUUUUGUUUAUGAUUAAUGAAUAAUUCACCUUAGAAACCAAACAAAACUCACCGAGAAUUUGAGGAAAUGGUUUAUUUAGAAACUACAAGAAAACUUCCGUGUGAGUUACAAAGUAUUAAAAAUCUAACUCAGUGCGAACUCAGCAUGAGGGUGUUGAACUGGAGCUAACAGGGUACACAAAGUUUCAUUUAUGAUACAAGUGUUACACAGCCUCAGCCUGUUCGGGAAAUCUGCAGACUGUGGUGAUGUCUCCAAGACUCAAACCCUGCAAGCUGAGACUGAGCCUUUGUGUUUUAUGAUCUCCAGCCUUUCUCAAAUGUUCUGCAGUGAAUUCCAGGUACGGUUCAUAUUUGCAAAAUUUCCUUGUUUGUUAGACUGCAAGAUUGCACUGAGGAUGAAAAUAAAAUAAAAGUUGAUAAUAUGCAUAACUGCUAACACGAUAAAUGCAAUUAGAUUUUAUAAGUAUAUUAUAUACAUAUAUGUACACCUCUGUGAAGCACUGAGUGGAUCAUAGGAAAAUUGCUUCUGAUAGUUCAGUUUAGGAACUGAACAUGAAGUUCAGUUGAACACAUUUUAAAGCUCUUUUCCUGCUAUGGAAAUGUAUGACACUGGCAUUUCUGCUCUGUUCUCUAGACAAACCACAGUGACUAUAAGAUCAUGGCAUUUAUUUGCAAACUGUAUGGAUCAUUUCAGCUAAUCUGAAUGUUACAAGCAUUUCAUUUCAGCAUGUUUUUCUCCUGUUGACUCAAAGCUACAGUCUGUGGCUUAACAAGGCUAAGUGAAAAACACAUCAACAGGUAUAGAGAUAAUCUUUUCAAAAUUGUGGAUUGUAACCUUAUACCAAUGUGAAGCUCUGUUUUGAAGUCUGUUGCUUCUGAGCUCUAGGAAUUAAGCUGUUGAGAAGAUUGCCUUGUGAGACCAAACCUAGCUGUUACACUUUCCUGUAAAAUAUUAAUUGCUGAAUAAUUUCCACAUAAAUACACUAGCAAUUAUUAAUUGCAUUGCAAUAAUUUGACUGUUUAUAGCCUGUAAAUUGAAGCAUUGCCUAUAUGUAAAUAUCUUGACUUUAGUGGGAAAUGGAAGGAUGCUGCUUACUAAUAAAACCUCUCUUAUUUAAUUAGCA
rnacentral:lncRNA from 1 species